rnacentral:rRNA from 1 species
AAGCUCAAAUUUGAAAUCUGGCACCUUCGGUGUCCGAGUUGUAAUUUGUAGAAGGUAACUUUGGAAUUGGCUCUUGUCUAUGUUCCUUGGAACAGGACGUCACAGAGGGUGAGAAUCCCGUGCGAUGAGGUGCCCAAUUCUAUGUAAAGUGCUUUCGAAGAGUCGAGUUGUUUGGGAAUGCAGCUCUAAGUGGGUGGUAAAUUCCAUCUAAAGCUAAAUAUUGGCGAGAGACCGAUAGCGAACAAGUACAGUGAUGGAAAGAUGAAAAGAACUUUGAAAAGAGAGUGAAAAAGUACGUGAAAUUGUUGAAAGGGAAGGGCUUGAGAUCAGACUUGGUAUUUUGCGUUCCUUCCCCUCGUGGGUUGGUUCCUCGCAGCUUACCGGGCCAGCAUCGGUUUGGAUGGUAGGAUAAUGACAUUGGAAUGUGACACCGCUUCGGUGGUGUGUUAUAGCCUUUGUUGAUACUGCCUGUCUAGACCGAGGACUGCGUCUUUGACUAGGAUGUUGGCAUAAUGAUCUUAAGUCGCCCGUCUUGAACCA